AGUGAACGCUGGCGGCAGGCCUAAUACAUGCAAGUCGAACGGCAGCACAGCAGAGCUUGCUCUGUGGGUGGCGAGUGGCGGACGGGUGAGGAAUACAUGGGAAUCUGCCCAGUCGUGGGGGAUAACGUAGGGAAACUUACGCUAAUACCGCAUGCGCCCUUCGGGGGAAAGCCGGGGACCUUCGGGCCUGGCGCGAUUGGAUGAGCCCAUGUCGGAUUAGCUAGUUGGCGGGGUAAUGGCCCACCAAGGCGACGAUCCGUAGCUGGUCUGAGAGGAUGAUCAGCCACACUGGAACUGAGACACGGUCCAGACUCCUACGGGAGGCAGCAGUAGGGAAUAUUGGACAAUGGGCGCAAGCCUGAUCCAGCCAUGCCGCGUGAGUGAAGAAGGCCCUCGGGUUGUAAAGCUCUUUUGUCCGGAAAGAAAAGCGCCGGGUUAAUACCCUGGUGUCCUGACGGUACCGGAAGAAUAAGCACCGGCUUAACUUCGUGCCAGCAGCCG
rnacentral:rRNA from 1 species